GAUCAUGGCUCAGGAUGAACGCUAGCGGCAGGCCUAACACAUGCAAGUCGAGGGGCAGCACGGUGUAGCAAUACACUGGUGGCGACCGGCGCGCGGGUGCGUAACGCGUAUGCAACCUACCCAUAACAGGGGGAUAACACUGAGAAAUUGGUACUAAUACCCCAUAACAUCAGGACCGGCAUCGGUUCUGGUUGAAAACUCCGGUGGUUAUGGAUGGGCAUGCGUUGUAUUAGCUGGG
rnacentral:rRNA from 1 species